UUACCUAGAGUUCGGUGCUCCCCCA
rnacentral:piRNA from 1 species